rnacentral:lncRNA from 1 species
CAGAUCUCUUGUGACAGAGUCAUAGAUGGCUGUGAGCCACCAUGUGGAAGCUGGACAUUGAAGCUGGGUUCUCUCUAAGAGCAACAAGUGUUCGGAAGAGCUGAGCCACCUCUCUAGCCUCCUGGGUGGUUUUUAUGGCGUAAAGGGAACCCUAAGGGAAGAUAUUAAGGGGAGCUUUGUGUGUAACACUAAGCCUUUGCCUGUGAGCUCGGCAUGUGACCGCUGCCCCCAAUUUACUGUUCAUCUUUUAUCUUCUCAUGCCCAACUACAAUGUGGUUUAUUACACAGAUUCUCAUUGAAUAAGCAAACUCCCGAAGGUGGGCUGGUGAGAUAAGGAGAGAUCCUCAGGAGAGCGUGAUACAACAUGUUUAUUGUACAAACUCUCAGAAGCAGAGUGAACUCUGUGUGUUCCAAGGUUGACUUAAACCACUGAACUAACAGAGGGCCAAUCACAGGGUACUGUUGUGAACAUCGUACACAAAGGCAUUGUUCUUCUCUUCGAUAGUUCCCAAACCACACAGGAGAAGAAAACAGUGUAAAACCCAGCUUAAAAAAGACAAUCAAGGUUCUCCUGUGGAGAAGGGCAGGGAACAAGAGCCUAUAAAUUAAGUAUGUGGAUUUAAAAAAGGAAUCAGUCUGCAUUUUAAGGGACUUUAUUACAUCGAGAAUAUUCUAAGGCCUGGGCAUAGACCGACAGGGAGAUGAAGCAGUCAAGGUAAGUCUCUCCCC